rnacentral:misc_RNA from 1 species
UCUCGGCUUAACACCGGCAGUCCCCCUAGAGCGCCCAACCAAAUGAUGGCAACUAGGGGCGAGGGUUGCGCUCGUUGCGGGACUUAACCCAACAUCUCACGACACGAGCUGACGACAGCCAUGCACCACCUGUGAUCGUGCCCCGAAGGGAGGGUGUGUUUCCACACCUGUCACGAACAUGUCAAGCCCAGGUAAGGUUCUUCGCGUUGCGUCGAAUUAAACCACAUGCUCCGCUGCUUGUGCGGGCCCCCGUCAAUUCCUUUGAGUUUCACCCUUGCGGGCGUACUCCCCAGGUGGAUGACUUAACGCUUUCGCUUGGACGCUGACUGUGUAUCGCCAACAUCGAGUCAUCAUCGUUUACGGCGUGGACUAC